rnacentral:rRNA from 1 species
AGCAGUCGCCACGGUAAUACGAAGGGGGCUAGCGUUGUUCGGAUUAACUGGGCGUAAAGGGUGCGUAGGCGGGGACUUAAGUCAGGGGUGAAAUCCCAAGGCUCAACCUUGGAACUGCCUUUGAUACUGGGUUUCUUGAGUCCGGGAGAGGUGAGUGGAACUGCGAGUGUAGAGGUGAAAUUCGUAGAUAUUCGCAAGAACACCAGUGGCGAAGGCGGCUCACUGGCCCGGUACUGACGCUGAGGCACGAAAGCGUGGGGAGCAAACAGGAUUAGAUACCCGAGUAGUCCCUGUUUCUUAUAC